rnacentral:misc_RNA from 1 species
GUGCAAUCUGAAACAGCCUUUGACUUACAGUUGACGACGUUAAGAGCGGCCCGACAAAAACGUAAUGACCAGCGAACAGUAGCGAUACGGCACGAGGGCCUCUUUUCUGAUGAUCAAUACAUACAUACAUCUCAAGUGCGGAAGACUUUGAACAUUGGUCGCCGUAGAUUUCUCUCCGCCUGUUCGUGAACCAGUGAAAGGUGCUCACACGUUAUCUAAGCUCAGCGAGCGAGUCGCUCUGGGUUGUUAUGUAUUAGUACACUCGGCGCUAAAGACGACCCGUGUUAGUAAUAAAAAAAAGUUACACGUGUUGGAUAAGUUUCAAGUGUCGUGUCGUAGCAUUCAGGAUAUUGAUAACUAUGCGGAUGAUCAGCAUUGGAUUACCAGAGUUGGGAUUCUUACCUCUCUGUCCCCCGAGCCUCUGAAGGGGCGUUGUUCGGGUGAUGGGAGAUUUGGCGGGAAACUGUUCGGGUAUCGUCUGUGUGAAACACAUGACGGAGAUAAUAAUCUUUGAGAGUGACAAUGGCAGCGAGACGACGAAAUGGGGGGAUACGGGUAACGAUACGAGGAACAAUACGGCGGACGUCCCCUUCCUGGAAAUCCCUCUCGUCCUGUCCAUGGAGUCGCAGAUCGGCCUGAUCGUCCUCUACUCCACCACCACCCUCCUGUCGAUCGUCGGCAACGUCCUGGUGGUGCUGGUCUUCAUGAGGGGCAGGCGGUGCCGCACGGACAUCCGGCCCUACCUCGUGAACCUGGCCAUGGCCGAUCUCGUCAUGUCGCUCUUCUGCAUGCCGUUCACGUUCACGUCGGUGAUGCUGAAGACGUGGGUGUUCUCCAAACCCAUGUGUCCGGUCGUCCUCUUCAUGCAGCAUCUCUCCGUCUCCUCCAGCGUCUUCACCAACAUGGCCAUCGGCAUCGACCGCUUCCUCGUCGUCAUGUUCCCGCUCAGGUCCAGGCUGACUACGUCCAGGGCCAAGUACGUCAUCAUGUCCAUCUGGAUCUCCGCCGUUGGUCUGUCUUCCGUCCAGCUGGUGGUCGGCAGGGCCACGGACCAGUACAUGGACGGAUACCAUGUGGUCACCUGCGACGAGAUCUGGACGAACCAGCAGUCGAGGAGGAUCUUUACGACUUUUGUUCUAUUUAUUACCUAUAUUAUUCCACUGUGCAUAUUGUCUGUGACCUAUUCUAUUGUGUCUAUUCUUUUGUGGAAAAGAACCGCCCCUGGAAAUGCCGACCAGGCCAGAGAUAUGCAGCAGCUCAAAGCCAAACGCAAGGUGGUCAAGAUGCUGGUGAUCGUGGUGGUGAUGUUCGGUCUGUGCUGGCUGCCCCUUCACACGUUCUUCCUCGUCAUCGACUUCAACCCGGAACUCGUCAUGUACCAGACGGAGGCGCAGGAGCGGCUCUUCACAGGGAUCUACUGUUUCGCCCAUUGGCUGGCCAUGUCCAACAGUUUCUCAAACCCAAUCGUAUACGGUUUUACAAACGACAGCUUCAGAGCAGAGUUAGCGACCCAGUGCUACAUGUGUUUCCCGUGCUGCUCCUGUCUUAAGAAGAUGAUCAUACGGAAACAGAGUUUCUCGACGUACGAGACCGGAAUUCCACGAAGACAGAGUACUAUGCGGAAAGUUUCAAAUAAGCAGACCAUCAAACAAUCGGUUCAGAACGGCAAUAAUGUAUAUUUUGAACUCAAGCGAUCGAAUUCCAAGGACAACAGUGUGACGUAUAAAAACAAGACAGCCGAUUUCGAUGGCAGGUGUCGAUGACAUGAAGACGCUAAUAUCAUAUUGUUAUAUGUUUCAUUGUUGGCGUGUAGACAUUUUUAUUUGUUAGUUUUGUUUCAUGUUAGUGUCAACCCAAAGACUAUAUUCCAAACACAACAGACAAAUAAAUCGAAUAAAAAUCAGAUGUGAAGCAAAUGUAUGGAAAUUGUCAAGACAAUGUAUGCAAAUGGGAUGGUAAACGUAGGUUCUUAACGUGAUUACAACUUUAUGGUUUAGGUAAGAUGGCGUUGAAGCUUCCGGUUGAUGUGUAGAAUCGAUCUCCGUCAGUGUCAGUGAUCCAUUGGUUUGUCCUGUGUCUCAGGAGGAAUUUCAACACCGGUACACGAUGUAUCAAAUGACAUUAAAAGUGCAUGCGUAGAAAGGAGACCAAUGAAUUCGGAUCUGACUUUACAAUAUGUCAGGCCCCUAGGAAUGAAUCUGGAGUGAGGAGGGGUCGCUGUCUUUAGUGGAGGAGGGUGCUCUGUCUUUAGUGGAGAGAUGAAGACAAAUGCUGCAACAGCAAAGAUGUGCAAAUGCAGCAUCCCCAAGUUCCACCGGCAUAAUAGCUCAUUGGUGUUACGAAACGCUCAGUAGACUGGUUUUGGUGUUUAGUGUUAAACUACUGAGAACAAGUCAACUCGUUAGAGGGUGCUCUUAACAGAACAGAACUCCAUUACGCUGAGACCGUUACACAUCAUUUUAGGAAUAUGUGACAUAAUA